rnacentral:rRNA from 1 species
AUGUCCUCGUGGAGCUGCCCCAGCUCAGGCGCAGACGACUCCUCGCAAUUGCGCUUCCUACCGCUGCUUGCAGCCACCGCCGCCGCCAUUUCCGGUAGGUCCAAGAUCUUGAAGCGAACAGAGGAGAAAAAAGAGAGUUACGGGGUGGAAGAAGCUGGCACUGGCGGUGCGAGUGAGGUCGCCGGCUUUAUAUCUAGCGGCCGAGCGAGUGGAGGCGCAGAGGCAGAGGGUGCUGCUGGUGGUGGGGAGGAAGGUUCGUGCGGAGGAGACGGUGGUGGUGGAGGUGGAAGAGAGGGCUCUUUUUGUUCGUGUUGA